rnacentral:lncRNA from 1 species
UGCAUCUUGGCCAGCAUUUGGUAUUGUCAGACUUCUGGAUGUUGGCUAGUCUCAUAGGUGUGCAGAAGCAACUCAUUGUCUCACAUGACCUUUUAAAUGUUCUUUACUUACAUGUGACAAACCACGUGAUAGGAUUAUAUUCCUGCAUUGUGACCUCAGGUUAGUAACUUCUGUUCCACCUUCCAGAGGCAGGAUUAUUGAAAAAGAGUGGAUAAUCAAAGGAAAGGGCCUGAGAUUCUGAGCUGGCAGGGUUGGGUUUAGGGAGAGUGAUGUCACUUGUUUUAGAGAAAUGAGGUGUGACAUAGUGGUCUGAUGGUCACCUGAAAUGCUUCUUCUCUCUGUUCAGGCCAGCUUGGCACAGAUCUCUCCAGCCAGAUGGGUUUGAGUACUAUUAGAAAAUAGGCCAUUUCCCUCUUUCGUCUUUGCAGCUUCUUACAAGCUCUGACCUGUUUUCUCAGCUUGACUGCUGGAAGGUGGAAUGGGUUCUGUUCCAGACCAGGACAGUGGUUUGUUUUCCUAUCCUGGAGCUUCCUUCUGCUCAGCUUCUGGGACCACAGCAGCAGCCAGCCCCUGCCCUGUGCCCCAGGCACUGUCUGGUUAUGUAGUUGGAGAAAAGGGCAGGGAAUACAGCAGUCAGGAAAGAGACCAUCUCCUGGACUAGCCACAGUGAAGCACACACAACCACAUGGUGGUGAGACCUGUUUGUAUCAUCAGUUCUUUGACCUCUGGAUGGGAGUGUGCCUAAACUCAGGCUCUAGGCCAGAUCAAUUAAGAGCAAAUUCUUCAAGAUGAAACAGAGAAGGCCCUCUGAUGAACCACUCAAACAGAUGCCUCUUCAGUGACACCUGGACAAUGUUAGGUAUUAACCCUAGAAAUUUCCAUCACCCCCUGGGAGAAUUCUGAAUCUGAAUUAAUAUUUAUCCCAAAUAAGGCAGCUCUUAAAACAGCAGGACCGGAGUUACAGGGACAAAGUGGGGUAAAGAUGUGUUUCCUUUUUCUGUUUCCCUCAAUGCAAAUCCGUGCUCUCGAGCCAGUUAAGAUCUGGAGACUAAAGUUCCAUUUCUGUACAGCUGACGUAGAGUGUGAGAGUUUUGCAUCUUCUAUACAAGCCCCCGUGUCACUUCUGGAACAUGAAGC